rnacentral:tRNA from 1 species
GGUGGCUCAGUGUUAGAGCACUUGCCUUGCAUGCAUGAAGCCCUGGGUUCGAUUCCUCAGCACCA